UCUCCACAUGCCUGGCAUUUCUUAACAAAUGCAGCUGCCAUAGCAACAGGGAAGUAAGGGAAUGUAACAAAGCCCUGGGAGAACCUGGCAAAAACAAACAAGCCCUUAGGGGCAUUCACUACAGGAGGGCUGAGUAAAGUCUAGGGAUAAAACAAAAGUAUUGUCAAGCAGUUUGGAUCAAACCAGGAGUCAGAAUCCAAGGGAUUAGGAAGAGAGUUGUUAAACAGUCCAAGGUCAAACACCAAAAGGAGCUGCUUCACACAAAGGGACGUUUCCCCUACACAGCAAGAAAUGAUCCCAAAAAAGCAAUGGAAAUAAGAGGGAAAGGGAACAUAUGGCCUUCCAAGUGCUGUUGGACUGAAGGACCCAUGAACACUAUCCAGUACAGCCAAAGGAGCAACCGGAGCUACUUCUGGAGUGAGAGAAUUGGCCGUCUGCAAGGACGUUGCCCAGGGGACGCCCAGAUGUUUUGAUGUUUUACCAUCCUUGUGGGAGGCUUCUCUCAUGUCCACGCAUGGAGCUGGAGCUGAUAGAGGGAGCUCAUCCAUGCUCUCCCCGGGUGGGAUUCGAACCUGGCAGCCUUCAGGUCAGCAACCCAACCUUCAAGUCACAAGGCUUUUAUCCUCUAGGCCAUCAAAGGCUCCAUCAAGAACCAAUGAAGAAGGCACUUCCUAGUUGUCAUCCAAGGGCAGUAGCAUUUUUGACAUUUCCAAAGUCUCUACAGAUGGUGCAAAAUGUUCAAUAUCUAGGUUGUAUUAAUCAUGAUUUAAAAAGCCAGAAUAGUUUCAGAUAAUGAGAAUCUAUGACAACAAGACUGUGGUCCUCUUACUCUCUUUGGCCUAUCUUGUCAGCUCAGUCCUACACACCAUCCCACCAAGCUGAUAGGGAUGGCAGGUGAUAAAUUCCAUCUGGAUGUCAUAGAAAGGACAACAGGGCCUUCUACCUACUCACUCAACUUCAGUCAAAAUGAGCCACCUCUUCCUAAUCACUUGCUCACGAGCACUCUGUCUCUGGAUAGCACAACAGUAAGAAUUGGAUCCAACAAACCCAAUCCUCUCUUCUGGAUCGCUAUGUAUUUUAUGAAUGUUAUUUUACUGUUAUUGUUUUAAUUAUAUAUGCUGCCGUCAUAUUGUUUUAUCCGUUGAUCGGGCUUGGUCCCCAUGUGAACCGCUCUGAGUCCCCUCGGGGAGAUGGAAGCGGGUUAUAAAUAAAGUUAUUAUUAUUAUUUUA